GUCCUUUUAAAGUUUAAACGUUAUAUAUGAAACCACAAUGAAAAACUGUUCAGUGACAAUCAAAUAGGUAAACUAUAUCCAUAUUUGCCGACUAAUAAAAUUCUUAACAUUUUACUGUAAAUAAAUAUUGAUUCGCACUGGUUUUCCCCUGACUCUUCCACAGUCCCUCAUUUGUACGCGCGGUCGCGUAAUUUGAGGCAGCGCUGAUUUGAGGGACUGUGAAAUCGUGACUCGAAAACUUGCAAAAACACUCGAAAACUUGCAAAUGUGCUCGAAAACCUAAAAAUUCGUCGAAUAUGGAAGAAAUCGUGGAUGUUUUGGACGAUAGCGGUGCUUUGCUGUACAUGGGAAGUGUUUUGUCUGAAUCGUGCGAGGGAUUAGAGAUAUUAAUGGAAUAUUUAUAUCUUGAAGACGAUGAUGGUGAGUGUUGACAUUUUAUAGCAAUAUGCCUUUGACCCUUCGACUGUAAAAAUAUAUUAUAUAGGCGAGAUUUUGAUUAGGUUUUCGUGUUUUAUACUGUUUCAUAAAAGUGAUUGUACCUUUACAAGUUACAACUUCGUAAAAGCUGGGCAAAUGCUCUAUAAUACGGAUUAUUUUUAUUUAAUUCUACAGAAUAAUUUCCACGCGCUAUUUUAUAUAAAUAUAUACGCCAAUUAACAUGUCAACAAAUAUAAAGUCAACAAGAAGUCCUGCUCAGGGGAAACAUGAACUGAACCGACCUCGUCUAACCGUUUUGCCAAAAACGAAUAUAUUUUAUGUUGGUCUUAAGAGUUAAGUUACUCUUUGUUUUUGCCAAAUGUGUAAGACUUUUCACUUUUGCUUAUUAAAAAUAGCAAUAUGUGAAAUAUGCAUGCUGAAUAAUAAUUUUUUUAAUGAAAAUUAUUUAGCCAAUGGGGAUCUCAGGUUCUAGCUCCUUGGUUAGUCGUCGGCAUUUGAGGUUUAGGAGUUCUGAAAGGCCUCCAUGUUAUGGAUUUAUUUUAACCUCUGUGUUUUACCUAGACACCCCCCCCCCUCCCUCAGGGUCAGCAUUACCACGUCAUCACCAGUAAAUAGGGCUGGGCAAUAUUUUGAUAUUAUCAAUGAUACACAAUGAUUGUACGUACUCAAGAUCAUCAUAUUGAAAGUAAAAGCUGAGUCGUGAUGGAGUUAUCGUCAGGGCCGAACUAACAAAGCUUAAUAAUAUAAAAUCUUAAAAAAACUAUGUUAAUUAAUUUAAUCCAUCCCUUUAUUAUUUUGUUUGAUAUUUUCCAAGGAUUUCACACAAAAUCCCCUCCCCCAAUACCCCCAAGUGAAUCCAUCCCACUACUACACAAAAUAAUACUUCUUUCCCUCUGAGUCAGAGACGGAUUUUCAUAUUUUCGUUCAGGGGGUGGAUAAUAUCUGGGGAGGGUGCUGCUGCUUGCUUUGUCCGGGGCGUGGUGGCAAUGCCCAGAAAGGCCAAGGAAAAAGUUUAACAAAAUUUUUUCUAGGCCUGCAUGGCGAGAUCUGAGACCAUAAUAUUGGUAAUUUUACAAAUUUAGUAGUAAGAAUAAUCAAAUAUGAAACUAUCAAAUCGAAAUAUAUGUAAUUUGCAGAGGUGCCAAAUGCCUUUGGGAGGUGCAAAUCAUUUCUGGGAGGGUGUGCACCCCCCCCCCCCACACACACACACAGAAAAUCUGUGCCAAUUAACAAUGAAAGCAUUUUUUUACAGAUCUCUGCAAUAUUAUGUUUACAAGUUCCUUGAAGAUAUGAUUAUAAUAAAUGGUGACAUAUGUCUGUACAUGGUAGAGGAUUUUGUACAUAUUUUGUACUUAUAUUACUGAGGCCAAAUAAACAUAAUAGUUGGUUUCAGGUUUCACAGCCAUGUUUUAUAUGGGUAGGUAGGUUGGAAAAGCAUUUUAUUUAAAAACACAUAAUCAGAUGUGCCACACGGGAUCAACCGGGAGCUACACAUGUUUUGCAAGAAACAAAUGCGUCAAGGAUUAACAUGACUAGAUAAUGAUUAAAUUAUGAGCAAACAAAAUACUUUGUAGCAAAUGAGUCUGAUGACUAUUUAUAUAUUCUGAUAUUUACAAAAAUAUGAUCCCUACUGGGAAAUGUCAAUAAUAUGUUUAUGGCCGGUCAUAUUUUUGGCACGUUGGUCAGAAACCUGAAGCCAACUAUUAUUUUUAUUUGGCCUGAGUACUUUUUAUAAUAUUCAGACAAUAGAUAAAUUUGUAUCAUAAUUAAAUUUCUAUCAAAAUCUGUAAUUUAAUAAAUAUUC